UACUAACAAGAGCGCCUCAAAGCCAGGACUUCGAAAAAUUGAGCCCCCAUCUCUGCUCACUCUUCAUCUAACCAAAAUACAUGACUGCCCACCAGUGAGGCCCAGCCUGCAAACUAUUUUGAGGGCAAACAGAACUGACCAGCAUG